rnacentral:rRNA from 1 species
GGGUGAGUAACACGUGAGUAACCUGCCCUUGACUCUGGGAUAACCUCCGGAAACGGAAGCUAAUACCGGAUACGAACCGCGGAGGCAUCUCCAGCGGUUGGAAAGAACUUCGGUCGAGGAUGGACUCGCGGCCUAUCAGGUAGUUGGUGAGGUAACGGCUCACCAAGCCUACGACGGGUAGCCGGCCUGAGAGGGUGACCGGCCACACUGGGACUGAGACACGGCCCAGACUCCUACGGGAGGCAGCAGUGGGGAAUAUUGCACAAUGGGCGAAAGCCUGAUGCAGCAACGCCGCGUGAGGGAUGACGGCCUUCGGGUUGUAAACCUCUUUUAGUAGGGAAGAAGCGAAAGUGACGGUACCUGCAGAAAAAGCACCGGCUAACUACGUGCCAGCAGCCGCGGUAAUACGUAGGGUGCGAGCGUUGUCCGGAAUUAUUGGGCGUAAAGAGCUCGGGCGGUCUGUCGCGUCUGCUGUGAAAACCCGAGGCUCAACCUCGGGCCUGCAGUGGGUACGGGCAGACUAGAGUGCGGUAGGGGAGAAUGGAAUUCCUGGUGUAGCGGUGGAAUGCGCAGAUAUCAGGAGGAACACCGAUGGCGAAGGCAGUUCUCUGGGCCGUAACUGACGCUGAGGAGCGAAAGCGUGGGGAGCGAACAGGAUUAGAUACCCUGGUAGUCCACGCCGUAAACGUUGGGCGCUAGAUGUGGGGACCAUUCCACGGUUUCCGUGUCGCAGCUAACGCAUUAAGCGCCCCGCCUGGGGAGUACGGCCGCAAGGCUAAAACUCAAAGGAAUUGACGGGGGCCCGCACAAGCGGCGGAGCAUGCGGAUUAAUUCGAUGCAACGCGAANAACCUUACCAAGGCUUGACAUAUACGANAACGGGCUANAAAUAGUCAACUCUUUGGACACUCGUAAACAGGUGGUGCAUGGUUGUCGUCAGCUCGUGUCGUGAGAUGUUGGGUUAAGUCCCGCAACGAGCGCAACCCUCGUUCUAUGUUGCCAGCACGUAAUGGUGGGAACUCAUAGGAGACUGCCGGGGUCAACUCGGAGGAAGGUGGGGAUGACGUCAAAUCAUCAUGCCCCUUAUGUCUUGGGCUUCACGCAUGCUACAAUGGCCGGUACAAAGGGCUGCAAUACCGUAAGGUGGAGCGAAUCCCAAAAAGCCGGUCUCAGUUCGGAUUGAGGUCUGCAACUCGACCUCAUGAAGUCGGAGUCGCUAGUAAUCGCAGAUCAGCAACGCUGCGGUGAAUACGUUCCCGGGCCUUGU